GAAAGGGAAGAAGUCGGAUUAGAUUUGUGACUUGCUGGGGUCCGUGUUCCUUUUCAAUGAGCAUUGUUUUGGAACAUUGACAGUGUGCACCGCUCUCAUUGGCUGUUUUAGGAAACAAUAACAGGACCGGUGGCCUCUGAUUGGUUCAACCCGACAGCUGCCCAAUACCCCUCUCCGUCUGAUAAGUUUCUCUAACCAACUUUAUUUAGUAUGAAGUCAAGUUGCUUGUGUUUUGAAGCAGUGUGCAAAGGGAAAUUCCACCGCAAAGAAGAUGAAGCUGUGUAAAACGUUUUUAGAAAAUGAGUUCAGAGGCCAGCUGCUGAACCAGAGGUGGACACGAGGGGACAGAAUAAGCAGAUUCUGUGAGACCAAGAGGAGCCUGCGAAUCAAAGUGAGAAGCUGUGUGUGUGUGUGUGUGUGUGUGUGUGUGUUUGUGAGCGUGCACGUGUGUGCCUGUGUCUUUGUGAGAAAGAGCGAGAGAGAAAUAGAGAGUUAAUGCUUUGUGAUAACAAUGAGUACUGUCAGAAACAGUGACCCUCCCAUUUCACACAAAUCUAUCUCACUCUACUCCUCUCUCCCACUCUCUUCCUUCCCUCCCUAAACAGAAGGAGGUCAUACAUUUUUCCUUUUAAAAGCUUUUAUUAGAGUUGAUAAGGACUCUGCUUUUGUAACCAGAUCUUGCUCCAUUGAGGAUGAGGGGAGGUUCCACCCCACUUUGAAAUCAGUAUGAAUGUUAUGUGUAUGUGUUUGGUUAUGGGUGUAUCUGUGCUUUAAAAUACUUGUGUGUGGGAAGAGGAAGACAGGGGGAAGAUAAAAUUAUACUGCUAUGGUACUUGCAAUGAGGCACUGUGUGGAUUGAUGAUGUAGAAUAAUUGUAGAGAAGUCACUCAAAAAGUGAAGCUGUGUGUGUGUGUGUGUGUGUGUGUGUGUGUGUGUGUGUGUGUGUGUGUGUGUGUGUGUGUGUGUGUGUGUGUGAGCAUCAAAAUGUGUACCUGUGUGCCUAUGUAGUGUGUGUGUGUGAGUGAGUGAGUGAGUGAGGUAAAGAGAGGUAGUGAGUGCACUGUCAUGACACUUUGUGUUUCAGAUGAGUCAGGAAGCAGCAGAAACAAGAACACGGACCCGCUCAAAAGGCAUCAGAGGUGAGCUGGGGCCACACAAAUGCACGCACAAACGCAUGAUACUAAUGGAAACAGCUUCAUU
rnacentral:lncRNA from 1 species